rnacentral:rRNA from 1 species
AUUGAACGCUGGCGGCAGGCCUAACACAUGCAAGUCGAAUGGUAACAGGAAACAGCUUGCUGUUUCGCUGACGAGUGGCGGACGGGUGAGUAAUGUCUGGGAAACUGCCUGAUGGAGGGGGAUAACUACUGGAAACGGUAGCUAAUACCGCAUAACGUCGCAAGACCAAAGAGGGGGACCUUCGGGCCUCUUGCCAUCAGAUGUGCCCAGAUGGGAUUAGCUAGUAGGUGGGGUAACGGCUCACCUAGGCGACGAUCCCUAGCUGGUCUGAGAGGAUGACCAGCCACACUGGAACUGAGACACGGUCCAGACUCCUACGGGAGGCAGCAGUGGGGAAUAUUGCACAAUGGGCGCAAGCCUGAUGCAGCCAUGCCGCGUGUAUGAAGAAGGCCUUCGGGUUGUAAAGUACUUUCAGCGGGGAGGAAGGGAGUAAAGUUAAUACCUUUGCUCAUUGACGUUACCCGCAGAAGAAGCACCGGCUAACUCCGUGCCAGCAGCCGCGGUAAUACGGAGGGUGCAAGCGUUAAUCGGAAUUACUGGGCGUAAAGCGCACGCAGGCGGUUUGUUAAGUCAGAUGUGAAAUCCCCGGGCUCAACCUGGGAACUGCAUCUGAUACUGGCAAGCUUGAGUCUCGUAGAGGGGGGUAGAAUUCCAGGUGUAGCGGUGAAAUGCGUAGAGAUCUGGAGGAAUACCGGUGGCGAAGGCGGCCCCCUGGACGAAGACUGACGCUCAGGGUGCGAAAGCGUGGGGGAGCAAACAGGAUUA